rnacentral:rRNA from 1 species
UACGUAGGCAGCGAGCGUUGUUCGGAGUUACUGGGCGUAAAGCGUGCGUAGGCGGUGUCUUAAGUUUGUUGUGAAAUCGUCCCGGCUUAACCCGGGAGGGUGCGGCGAAUACUGAGAUGCUGGAGUGCCGGAGAGGUAAGCGGAAUUCCUGGUGUAGCGGUGAAAUGCGUAGAUAUCAGGAGGAACACCUGCGGUGUAGACGGCUUACUGGACGGUAACUGACGCUGAGGCACGAAAGCGUGGGUAGCAAACAGG